CAACCAAAGCCUGGCCCUAAGGACAUGAGAUUCCAUAUGGCUAACCUGCAAAGUGGAGCAUGAGAGGAAUAGAGGGAAGAUGAAGAGAGCAUGGCAUGAUGAAGGACUUUCACAGUGUUCUGGAGGAGGACCUCUGGAUGCUCCCUGCUUCUUGCUACGUGUUUGGGCAGACAGCACCCCGAGAGGCGAGUUGGCUCCAUCUGCGAUUUGGAAUUACGUGAAGAGAAAAUAUAAGGGGAUACGAAAACCAUGGUGACAAUCUUGGAAAAUGAGAUUAAGUCACAGCUGUAUAAGUUUUUUUAUGUGCUCUUACACACAACUGAUAGCAACAAAGAGAGCCACCUGUUUCCAGUCAGACACUGCCAAAUCUUUCAGAAGGAAAUUGGGACACGGAGAAAAAGUACCCGCUUUUUCAGUAAACUUACCCAACGGGAGAAGAAGCACCUUCCCCCGUGGACCUCAUCGAAACUCCUGGAUGGGGCCGUCCCAGGAGCUGCGAGCCUUGCUGCACCGGGUCUGAAGACUCAUGCAUUCUCCAGGCCUCUGCGAAGACACCGGUUUGUCCUUUGA
rnacentral:lncRNA from 1 species